CCUGGGUUGGCUACCCAGAGGCUAUUUAAGCUGUGGGCUGGCUUUCCCCAGGGUCAGAGGAUUGUUCAAGGUUCCUGAAUAAACUGCAUUGAAAAAAAAAAAAAAAGAAAAAAAAGAAAAAGCAGGAGCCAGCAGACCCCUCUGGCACUCACAGCAGCAGGGUUGUGACUAGCCAGGCAUCGCCAUUGCUUUUCCGGCACACUUACUCAAGCCUUGGCAUAUUCCUUUGGAAGGAGGGAAGGCACCCAUUUCCUUACCCCCAAGGCUCUGUGCCUUGUAUUCAAUUAUCGCUUUCUCUUCCAUGAUCACUAUCAUUUCCAUCUUACAGAGUUGAACACCAAGGCACAGAGAAACCAAGGUACCCACUGUCAUGGCUGAUGAGUGAUGCUUUCAGCAGGAUAUGCUUCCCUGCCCCUCCCCAGGACAUUCAUCUUGCUGCUAGUUUUUGUUUCCCUGAACAUUCGUGAUUGGCUGUGUUGUGCUACUGUAUGACCAUUCAUCCUUAUUUUCCAGCGACAAGGACAGUAUCCUUUGACAAUUAGGGGCAAACAUAAAAAUAGCAUGAUUUAUAGACAAAAGUGCCAAAGGAGGGGGACAAAAGUCCCUCGUCUCCUCCAUGAUGUUAAUUCACAGGCCCUCUGACAAAGUCAGGAAAUACAGAAGGAAACAAUGUAUAAUGUAGAAGGGCAAUUCUAGGUUAAAGUGAGGAAGAGGCAACAAGGUUGGGGUAGCAUGAGGGGGACUGUUUUGGCACAUAACAUGAGUAGGCCCAGCUGCAGAAAACGUGACGUUAAUGAAGGACACGGUUCAAAUCCCACAUAACCCUGUGUGUCUGUGUGUCGUAAAGGGGAAGUCUUAAUCUCAGCGUUCACUGCUGGGAAAAGAGCAGGGAGAGGAUAGAGGGAGAUAUGCAACAGCGUGGGUGUGUUAGGGCAGCUUGCCACACUAGAACGGUUAUGAAACUUAAGUGCGUGCAUGAUUCGUAUCCUUCAGAUAUUCAGAGGCCCCCCACUUAGUAGGGUUUGACUUAGAAAUUUUUUGACUUUAUAAAAAGAAGCCAAAAGUAAUAUCCAUCCCAGCAGAAAUCACACUUUAAAAUUUGAAUUUUAACCUUUUCACAGGCCUGAAACAUGCAGUAACAGGAUGCCAGGCAGCAGAAGGGGCAGAGCUAGACUGCCGUCCAUGGUCACAGGCAUCUGCAACAUUGGAGUACUCUGCUCAUGGUAGCUCUUCACUGUGAGAAGCUGAAGAAUUUGGUUGGAAAGUAGUUCCCAUUACAUAACUCUUAACCUAGUUAUGCAUGAAAGAGGUAAGAGGA